rnacentral:pre_miRNA from 1 species
AGUGAGAUAGCUGGAUUAAAUGGUGGGUCCAUUCCAAGUUUUCCAAGGAAUCUCCAUACUGCUUUCCAGAUUGGCUGUACCAAUUUGCAGUCCCACCAGCAAU